UACGUAGGGUGCGAGCGUUUAAUCGGAAUUACUGGGCGUAAAGCGUGCGCAGGCGGUUUUGUAAGCCAGAUGUGAAAUCCCCGGGCUCAACCUGGGAAUGGCAUUUGGGACUGCAAGGCUGGAGUGCGGCAGAGGAGACUGGAAUUCCUGGUGUAGCAGUGAAAUGCGUAGAUAUCAGGAGGAAUACCGAUGGCGAAGGCAGGUCUCUGGGCUGACACUGACGCUCGUGCACGAAAGCGUGGGGAGCAAACAGG
rnacentral:rRNA from 1 species